rnacentral:lncRNA from 1 species
AAUUACAUACAUAUUCGGACCAAGUAAAAGUUGUUACAUUUACAAAUCAAAAACCCUAAAAAAACUCAAAUAACAAUCAGACUAAUUCUUUCCUAAAAUACAAUCAGAAUUAAAUUGCAAAAGCCAAAUUCUAACCUAUAAGUACCUAAGUCUAAAAUCAUAAUAGAAAGAAAAAAGAAUCUGAAAAACCUAAGAUGCUUCUACGAUCCCUACCAAACACCAAAGCUCCAUGAAUCAGAUACUUAGGGUUUUCAUACUGAAACCCUAAG